rnacentral:rRNA from 1 species
CUUAGAGUUUGAUCCUGGCUCAGGAUGAACGCUGGCGGUAUGCUUAACACAUGCAAGUCGAACGGUGUCUUCGGACAUAGUGGCGGACGGGUGAGUAACGCGUGAGAAUCUAGCUUCAGGUCUGGGACAACCACUGGAAACGGUGGCUAAUACCGGAUGUGCCGGAAGGUGAAAGGCUUGCUGCCUGAAGAUGAGCUCGCGUCCGAUUAGCUAGUAGGUGGGGUAAGAGCCUACCUAGGCGACGAUCGGUAGCUGGUCUGAGAGGAUGACCAGCCACACUGGGACUGAGACACGGCCCAGACUCCUACGGGAGGCAGCAGUGGGGAAUUUUCCGCAAUGGGCGAAAGCCUGACGGAGCAAUACCGCGUGAGGGAGGAAGGCUCUUGGGUUGUAAACCUCUUUUCUCAGGGAAGAACACAAUGACGGUACCUGAGGAAUCAGCAUCGGCUAACUCCGUGCCAGCAGCCGCGGUAAUACGGAGGAUGCAAGCGUUAUCCGGAAUGAUUGGGCGUAAAGCGUCCGCAGGUGGCUGUGUAAGUCUGCUGUCAAAGAGCAAAGCUCAACUUUGUAAAGGCAGUGGAAACUACACGGCUAGAGUGCGUUCGGGGCAGAGGGAAUUCCUGGUGUAGCGGUGAAAUGCGUAGAGAUCAGGAAGAACACCGGUGGCGAAGGCGCUCUGCUAGGCCGCAACUGACACUGAGGGACGAAAGCUAGGGGAGCGAAUGGGAUAAGAGACCCCAGUAGUCCUAGCUGUAAACGA